GGAGUGGUGACCGAGCGGUUGAAGGUGCUCGCCUGGAAAGCGGGUGUACCUCUAAAAGGGUACCGAGGGUUCGAAUCCCUCCCACUCCG
rnacentral:tRNA from 1 species